UGCAAGGAAGCGUUAUUCACACAGAAGUUUGGAACUCUUUCUUAUAAGUCAAUUGAAUGGUGAAACUUCAAAACAAAAACUGUUAGAUUUGUUUUUCAUUGAGGUUAUUAUUAUGAGUUACGAAGCCAAAGUUGAUACAGUUAAUUUAUUGAUUGGGGCAUGAUCUAUUUAAAAGACAAAAUGUUUGAAGGUCUGCUCCAGUUCCUAUGCUUCCUAAAUUAAUGAAUAUCUGUCUCCAUUGUCCUCCUGGUAACAGACUUCGACAUGUAUAUCCUGCUGGUGACUAGAGCAUUGUUGGUUGAUUAUAUGGAAUAAUUAAUGCUUGACAACUCUUCAGCAGCUGAAUUCUCAGGAGCGGCCCUUAUUCAUUAUAACUGUUCACCCAUUUGGAACCUAGUUCUGGAAGCUGAGUGAAGAGGAAGAAGGAAAUUUUCAUUGGUGCAGUGAAUCCAUCCACGAUUGCUUUUGGGAAGCGUUCCAGGAUUGGAGGAGUUUCUAUUUCUGCACCUGGAUCAGGAUGUUAGGAUUUACUGUUGAUCACGCUUACAGCUUCCAUAUCAUAUCAGUCAAUCAACCAUGGCAGGCACAUCAUCUUCACGCAUUCCAACACACUCAGCGCAACUGGCAAGCAUAGCAUUAAAUCUGUUUCCCCACGGCCAGUGUCACAGGCUGCUGCUGUAGAUACUUCCAAGCUCCACAGAUGAUGACUGCACUACCUCUUUCAGAACCAAUUUUGUGAACACUGUUGAUUACAUUAAAUAUGUAUGUUGGAAAUUCAUGAACUAAGUUGAAGGUACUGAUGGUGAUAAGCCUGCAUUCCAUAGACCAACCUUAAAAAGGCUAUUACCUUAUAAUUAUCAUAGAUACUUCAUUUAUUGACAAUUCUAAAUUUGUUGAAAAACAUACUGGGAUAUUCUAAGGUUUCCUUGUUUAUACAUCAUAGAUUAUUUAAAUUAGGAAAAUUAGAAAUUGGCAAACUGAGAACAGGAAACGCUGGAAAAAAGUGGCAGGUUAGGCAGCAUCCGAGGAAAGAGAAGCAGAAUUAAUGUUUCAGAUCUUCAUCAGAACUGGGAAAAGGAGAAAACCAAAUUAGCUUCCAGUUGCAAAGAAAGUUGCAGAAGAUUAUGUUAAACAAGAGGAAUUUCUCUGAUAAGAGGAGAGUAAAUGGUUUAAAGGGGUAGUUUGAAACACAUUAUCCUUCUCUAUUUAUGUAACGUGUUGUUAACAUUAUUAUAUUGGCAUUAAAAUUAUAAUACUGUGAUAUUCCAAGAAUAAUUAUAUUGCUCACAACCUCAUUGUCAACAAUGGAUUACAUGAAUGAAACUCUUUCUGAAUUCUUUUGGACUCUGAUUAAAAAUCAGACAGCAGUAAGGUGUAUUGUGGUCAUACUACUGCACACUAUAAGGCACAGCAGUAUCACAUGGAUCCAUGUCUCUUUAUUUCCAAUACAUAUUAUGAUUCUGGCUUUAUAUAUAUGGAAAACAAUAUAAAUAUCAAAGAGGUAUAUAGGUAAAAUAAAGUCAAAUUAAGAAAGAACAACAGAGGAUUAAAGAGCAUAAGUCGUCAAAGCAGCAGGAUAUUUAGGAAGAGGUAUUUCAUCAUAAUCUUAUGUACAAACGAGACAAUGAAAGCUGUCAAGGUGAUUUAUGUGAUUGCAUUUGCAAGCUCCUUUGAGAGGCGAUGCCCCUUAGUAUCAUUCGGUAUAAUGCAACCUAGCUAGUAAUGAGGCUCCAGACCCAACAAUAGCUUCUGGGGAUUCAAGCUCAGACCACCAGGAGGGUUAUAAAGCUCGCUACCAAACUACUGAGAUGAUACACAGACCAACCUGAGUCUGACAAGGAAUGAGACAGAGAUGUUCACUAUCAGUUGCAAGCCAUCAAGAAAGAAAGGUUUCACCACUGGUAAAAGAGAGUGGAAAAUAUAUUAUCUAUUUAUAUGGCACGAUAUAAGCUUGUUAAAGGGCACUUCCUCUUCAAAUAUUCAGGCAGGUUUCUUUUACUUUCACACUUAGAACAGGAAUUCUGUAUACAGUGGAUUCCAGUUAAUUGGCCAGUUGGUUAAUCAGUGUAACCAUUUAUUUGGGGUAACUAUUAAAGAACAAAAAAAUCAGUAAAAUAGCUGGGAUUCCCUUCAUUUAUUUGGGACACCAAGCCACUUAAUUGGGACAGGAGACCUUUGCCAAACAGUUUCUAACUAGUGCACUUGAGUGGCUGUUAGACACUACAUGGUACUUAAGUCAUGUUAUUACAUCGUAUAAUUUUUUUUAAUCGUGUCACUUGUGUGUGUUUGUGUUCAAAAAGCUGUGAUUUUUGUCACAUAAGUGGUGGGAGAUAAACAGAAAGACAAUUUGGACUGUUUUGCUCACCGUGAUUUCAAGCACUUAGGCUUGGAGAUGCCAGAAACACCUGGAGUGAAAAUGAAAUGAUUUUAUGACUUCAUCAAGUUAGGUUAGGAAUGACAAAGAAGUUGAAAGUAUCAACAAAUAUCAUGAAUGUUCAAAUGAGAAUGAAGAUUUGGAGGGUCUCAUCUGAAGAAUGUGUAUGAAAGCAGUCCGUUAUCUGCACUAGAUGUCUGCUCUGAUUUUGUUCAUUUACAGUAAAUCAGAAGGGCAUGGCAGAUAAGUUCCUCCAUCGAUAAUUAUUAGGAAAUAAUAUACAGUUUUAUAGUACUGUAGAUAGUGUUUUAAUUUGUUCUGUAUUUCAUUUAAAUGCAUAAACAAUUUAUGAGUUAAAAAGUUGUUUGUCUCUUAAAUUUUUAACUAUUUCCAUGAAACUUUGACUAAUUGGGGUAGCCAGUUGGGCCAAAGUGUACUGGUCCGAAUGUGUUCCAAUUAACUGGAAUCCACUGUAUUUUACUUGUGUAAUGUAAACCAAGGUUAGUGUGGCCAAUAUUGACAGCUAUUAGAAUACAGAAAUUCUGACAUGCAUACAAUGUCAGAUUAACCAGAAUACAUCUAUAUUGAUGUGCUUUUGAUGUUCACCAACUAUGGAUUAAGGUUAUCAAGAAUUGUUUUUGCUGAUGCCCAUCGUUCUCCAUGGAAAGUCGCAGAAAUGCUUUCCUGACCAUUGCGUCUCACGGUAGAUCUCCACCAGAGCUGACUUCACAUGCUAGAACAGGAGUGUCCCUAGCUCGUUCGGGUAUGAGGCCCACCAGCUGCACUCACCUGGUUUAGCCCACCUGUCGAUGUGGCCGUUGUCGCAUGCAAAUAGCUACUUGGAGUCUCAGUGAGAGCUGAGUUUCUGGUGAGGACGAAAGGUGAGUGAGCUGCCCCAUAGUGGAAAUGACAAGUCCCUUCACCAGAGGUGUUAUUCCUAUACACCCCAUUUCCAACUUUAUAUAAAUUCCUAGAGAAAACAUGGCACUUAAUUAAAAAUGGUAAUAAAUUAGGUAAUAAGGCAAUAAGGUAAUAAGGCAGAAUGAAAUGCUCCAUGAUUGGCAGAAUGGGACAAGUGGCUGUCCUCGGGGAUCUGCACAGAGCUUUAGCACUUUCCUAUACAUAUUAAUAAUGCAUAGGAAAAGGAAUAGUAAGUUGUCUAUCAGACUUUGCAGAUUGAUCGGAAGGCAGAGAAAAAUGUGCCAGUACAGACAUGGAAGUUACAAAGGGUUGAGGAGAAAUUUGAAAUAUAGGUAAAACUAAGUCAGUCAGUGUUCAAAAUCAGGAAAUAUGUGGCCUAUUUUAGAUACAAGAAAGUACUAUCAUUUUCCUAAUGGAAAUGAGGUUAAAUGAAAGCAAGGAGAUGUGUGGGUCCAUCUAAAGAAAUCACAUAGUGGUGGUGAACCGAUACUAAUAAAGUCAAAAGGGCCAAUGCGCUGUUGGCAAUCUCAAAAAUCAUGAAAUUAAUCCUUUAUACAUACAGAUCCUUAUUUAAAAAACAUCAGGAGCAUUGCACUGCAUUUUAAAUAGAAUAUCAUAAACCCUUGGUCUUGUUUCUCAGGCUUGUACAACAUGCAAUAAUUUUAGCAAUGUGAUACAAAGGCUUAAAAGGUUAAGUUAGCAAUUUUCAAAAUAUGUUUUCCAGUCUCUUAAACUCAAAAGUUUGAGAAUGGUCUAACUGAACUCAUUCAGAGAAACUAUUGGCUCAAAUGGGAAAGCCAGAAAUAAAAGUGGAAUGGCUUUUAAAGUUUAGGCAGGCCUGUUAGGAUUGGAAUCAGAAAGCUCUUUCAACCACUAAAGGUAGGAGAAAUGUGAAAACUUCUAUUCCAAAAAGUUCAGGACCCCGGGCCAAAAGAUAAUUUCACACCUGAGACUAUCAGAAUUUUAUUAGCACUUGGGGUUUUAUGAUAUGGACCGGAAGCAGAGUAUAGGUUUGAAAGAGCUGAACUUGGAACAACAGUGAACUCUCAUUUACCAUGCAGCCAGAAUUCUAAUUACACUGGCAAAUAUGAUUAAGAACAAUAAGCAAUUUCAUAAAUUUUAUUUCAGAUUUUAUCAAAAUGUGGAAAGAAUUUUUUGUUUAUGUAUGUUUAUGCAUUAGAGCAGUGCAGUUGCAGACUGAAGAGCAGCAACAUCCUCUUUGAAGUAUCGGCACUUCACAUGAUGUCUAAACAUUGGACAGUGAAGAUUUAUCGAGGUACGGAAACCCGAAGGAUCGAGUAAAGUUGGUGUCGUUGGCAGUAAAACAGGAUUGACCUUAUUGGAUCUUCGUUCUGGAGAUAGUAACCUGCAUCCGAGAUAGCCCCUGCUGUAAGAGCAGAAAGGGUUCGGUGCAGUGUUAUUCGUCAAGGAAAAAGUUAGUUCCUUCAAGCCGUUUUUAUUUCCUUCAUCGUGAAUCCUUCUGGUGAGGCAUAUUUCGUCCGGGAUCAGCAGUAACGUCACUUCUUCUAGGAAUUUGUUACUUCAGGAAAGUCUCUCCUAAUUGACUGUAUAAAUCAUUUGGACUUCCGCAUUUAUCGCUUUAAGAACUGUUCAAGUUGCCAAUUAGCAGUUAAUUUCCGGUUAAGUUAGUCAUUUGUUUAUUUUUAAUUUUUAUU